rnacentral:rRNA from 1 species
ACUCCUACGGGAGGCAGCAGUGAGGAAUAUUGGUCAAUGGGCGAGAGCCUGAACCAGCCAAGUCGCGUGAAGGAUGAAGGUUCUAUGGAUUGUAAACUUCUUUUGUAAGGGAAUAAAAAGUAGUACGUGUACUAUAUUGUAUGUACUUUACGAAUAAGGAUCGGCUAACUCCGUGCCAGCAGCCGCGGUAAU